rnacentral:rRNA from 1 species
UAACACAUGCAAGUCGAACGGUAACAGGAUGUGCUUGCACAUCGCUGACGAGUGGCGGACGGGUGAGUAAUGCUUGGGAACUUGCCUUUGCGAGGGGGAUAACAGUUGGAAACGACUGCUAAUACCGCAUAAUGUCUACGGACCAAACGGGGCUUCGACUCCCGCGCAGAGAGAGGCCCCAGUGAAAUUAACUAAUUGGUGAGGUAAAGGCUC